CCCCGUUGAUACCGCAAUACCAUCCCGUCGCCCACACGAGGGUAGUGGCCCGGAAGACGCACCGGUUAGUCCUUCUGUUGCAUCGAUUGAGGGUUCUCCCCAACACCUUCCCCGGAAAUUCAGGACGAGCGAUUAUGGUUACUUGCUGAUAUCCCGAGCUCGA